UACGAAGGGGGCUAGCGUUGUUCGGAAUCACUGGGCGUAAAGCGCACGUAGGCGGGUCUUUAAGUCAGGGGGGAAAUGCCAAGGCUCAACCUUGGAACUGCCUUUGAUACUGGAGACCUUGAGUCCGGGAGAGGUGAGUGGAAUUGCGAGUGUAGAGGUGAAAUUCGUAGAUAUUCGCAAGAACACCAGUGGCGAAGGCGGCUCACUGGCCCGGAACUGACGCUGAGACGCGAAAGCGUGGGGAGCAAACAGG
rnacentral:rRNA from 1 species